ACUCAAAUGAAUAGACGGGGGCCCGCACAAGCGGUGGAGGAUGUGGUUUAAUUCGACGCAACGCGAAGAACCUUACCUGGGCUUGAACUGAUAGGUAAACAUGUGGAAACACAUGCUGGUGGCAACACCGACCUAUUAGAGGUGCUGCAUGGCUGUCGUCAGCUCGUGUCGUGAGAUGUUGGGUUAAGUCCCGCAACGAGCGCAACCCUUGUCGUUAGUUACCAGCGAGUCAUGUCGGGGACUCUAACGAGACCGCCGGCGGUAAGCCGGAGGAAGGUGGGGAUGACGUCAAGUCCUCAUGGCCCUUACGUCCAGGGCUACACACGUCCUACAAUGGUCGGGACAGCGGGAAGCAAUGCCGCGAGGUGGAGCAAAUCCCUUAAACCCGAUCUCAGUUCAGAUUGCAGUCUGCAACUCGACUGCAUGAAGAUGGAAUCGCUAGUAAUCGCGGAUCAGAAUGCCGCGGUGAAUACGUUCCCGGGCCUUGCACACACCGCCCGU
rnacentral:rRNA from 1 species